rnacentral:rRNA from 1 species
AUUGAACGCUGGUGGCAGGCUUAACACAUGCAAGUCGAGCGGAGUGAUGGUGCUUGCACUAUCACUUAGCGGCGGACGGGUGAGUAAUGCUUAGGAAUCUGCCUAUUAGUGGGGGACAACAUCUCGAAAGGGAUGCUAAUACCGCAUACGUCCUACGGGAGAAAGCAGGGGAUCACUUGUGACCUUGCGCUAAUAGAUGAGCCUAAGUCGGAUUAGCUAGUUGGUGGGGUAAAGGCCUACCAAGGCGACGAUCUGUAGCGGGUCUGAGAGGAUGAUCCGCCACACUGGGACUGAGACACGGCCCAGACUCCUACGGGAGGCAGCAGUGGGGAAUAUUGGACAAUGGGCGGAAGCCUGAUCCAGCCAUGCCGCGUGUGUGAAGAAGGCCUUUUGGUUGUAAAGCACUUUAAGCGAGGAGGAGGCUCCUUUAGUUAAUACCUAAAGAGAGUGGACGUUACUCGCAGAAUAAGCACCGGCUAACUCUGUGCCAGCAGCCGCAGUAACAC